GAUGAACGCUGGCGGCGUGCCUAAUACAUGCAAGUCGAGCGAACGGACGAGAAGCUUGCUUCUCUGAUGUUAGCGGCGGACGGGUGAGUAACACGUGUAUAACCUACCUAUAAGACUGGGAUAACUUCGGGAAACCGGCUCUAAUACCGUAUGAUAUUUUGAACCGCAUGGUUCAAAAGUGAAAUACGGUCUUGCUGUCACUUAUAGAUGGAUCCGCGCUGCAUUAGCUAGUUGGUAAGGUAACGGCUUACCAAGGCAACGAUGCAUAGCCGACCUGAGAGGGUGAUCGGCCACACUGGAACUGAGACACGGUCCAGACUCCUACGGGAGGCAGCAGUAGGGAAUCUUCCGCAAAGGGCGAAAGCCUGACGGAGCAACGCCGCGUGAGUGAUGAAGGUCUUCGGAUCGUAAAACUCUGUUAUUAGGGAAGAACAUAUGUGUAAGUAACUGUGCACAUCUUGACGGUACCUAAUCAGAAAGCCACGGCUAACUACGUG
rnacentral:rRNA from 1 species